AUUCCAGCUCCAAUAGCGUAUAUUAAAGUUGUUGCGGUUAAAAAGCUCGUAGUUGGAUCUCGGCGGGCAGGGGGUGGUUCGCUCUUCAGCGCUACUGCCCCGCUUUGCCCGUGUGAUUGGCGGAGGUUUCGGGGUGCUCUUCGUUGAGUGACUCGGAGCGCCGUCAGGUUUACUUUGAAAAAAUUAGAGUGCUCAAAGCAGGCUUUUCACGCUUGAAUAUUCGUGCAUGGAAUAAUAGAAUAGGACUUUGGUUCUAUUUUGUUGGUUUCUAGGACCGAAGUAAUGAUUAAUAGGGACAGUUAGGGGCAUUCAUAUUCCAUUGUCAGAGGUGAAAUUCUUGGAUUAACGGAAGAUGAACUACUGCGAAAGCAUUUGCCAAGGAUGUUUUCAUUA
rnacentral:rRNA from 1 species